rnacentral:rRNA from 1 species
GACGAACGCUGGCGGCGUGCUUAACACAUGCAAGUCGAACGGAAAGGCCCUGCUUUUGUGGGGUGCUCGAGUGGCGAACGGGUGAGUAACACGUGAGUAACCUGCCCUUGACUUUGGGAUAACUUCAGGAAACUGGGGCUAAUACCGGAUAGGAGCUCCUGCUGCAUGGUGGGGGUUGGAAAGUUUCGGCGGUUGGGGAUGGACUCGCGGCUUAUCAGCUUGUUGGUGGGGUAGUGGCUUACCAAGGCUUUGACGGGUAGCCGGCCUGAGAGGGUGGCCGGCCACAUUGGGUCUGAGAUACGGCCCAGACUCCUACGGGAGGCAGCAGUGGGGAAUAUUGCACAAUGGGCGGAAGCCUGAUGCAGCAACGCCGCGUGCGGGAUGACGGCCUUCGGGUUGUAAACCGCUUUCGCCUGUGACGAAGCGUGAGUGACGGUAAUGGGUAAAGAAGCACCGGCUAACUACGU